rfam:Gossypium raimondii Chr02_contig_1086, whole genome shotgun sequence.
UUGUAUGUGGGCAUUUCUGAACUAAUUUCUUAAAACGCUCCCAUGCUUCGUGAAAACUUUCUCCCUCUCUCUUUUUGAACAUAGAAAUUUCCCUUCUUAGCUG